AUUGAACGCUGGCGGCAUGCUUUACACAUGCAAGUCGAACGCGUGGCGCACGGGUGUGAAAAACAUCGGAACGUGUCCUAUCGGGGGGGGUAACUGAUCGAAAGAGGAGCGAAUACCGCAUACGAUUGGAGCGGCCGAUAGCCGAUUAGCUAGUUGGGGAGGUAAAGGCUCACCAAGGCGACGCUCGGUAGCGGGUCUGAGAGGAAGACCAGCCACACUGGGACUGAGACACGGCCCAGACUCCUACGGGAGGCAGCAGUGGGGAAUUUUGGACAAUGGGCGCAAGCCUGAUCCAGCCAUGCCGCGUGCGGGAUGAAGGUCUUCGGAUUGUAAACUGCUUUUGUCAGGGAAGCGGUACCUGAAGAAUAAGCACCGGCUAACUCCGUGCCAGCAGCCGCGGUAAUAC
rnacentral:rRNA from 1 species